GACGAGGUGGCUGAGUGGUGAAGGUGAUGGACUUGAAAUCCAUUGGGCUGUGCAUGCAUGGGUUCAAAUCCCAUCCUCGUUCA